rnacentral:rRNA from 1 species
ACGCACGCUGGCGGCGUGCUUAACACCUGCCAGUCGAACGGUGAAGCGCCUUCCUUUUUGGUGGGUGUGGAUGAGUGGCGAACGGGUGAGUAACACGUGAGUAACCUGCCCCCUUCUUCUGGAUAACCGCAUGAAAGUGUGGCUAAUACGGGAUAUUCUGGGUCUGUCGCAUGAUGGGUCUGGGAAAGAUAUUGUUUCGGUGGGGGAUGGGCUCGCGGCCUAUCAGCUUGUUGGUGGGGUGAUGGCCUACCAAGGCGGUGACGGGUAGCCGGCCUGAGAGGGUGGACGGUCACACUGGGACUGAGACACGGCCCAGACUCCUACGGGAGGCAGCAGUGGGGAAUAUUGCACAAUGGGCGCAAGCCUGAUGCAGCGACGCCGCGUGAGGGAUGGAGGCCUUCGGGUUGUGAACCUCUUUCGCCAGUGAAGCAGGCCUGCCUCGUUUGUGGGUGGGUUGACGGUAGCUGGAUAAGAAGCGCCGGCUAACUACGUG